rnacentral:misc_RNA from 1 species
UUGACUGAAAUUUAAAACCACAGCUACAUAGGGAUACCCACAAUUCAACUUGAAGUCUCCUUCACAAUAGACACCAAAAGCUUCAAGAAUCACUGCUAAAAUAGCAGUAAAUGCUUUUAUGAUCAUAUAUUGGACAAUUCCAAAUUUGAUAACUUGGAAGACCCACUGACCAAGUUUCCAUGGCUUUAAAAAAUAAUUCAUAGGAAAAAGAUGUUUGACAACUCCCUUCUCAGAGUCAUGCUCUAGUAGUGGCAUCUUUGAAGCUGCACGUCCUUCCCUCUCCAUAAAUAGUAUAGCCCGCUCCUCCCCACCUAAGCAAGCAAUAAGAUACCUCCCAAAGCAG